AGGGUCAGUCGGAUCCCGCCACACCGGGCACCCUGCUGGGCUGGUUUCUACCCUUCCUUCCCCUCCCCCAGCCCGGGCCAGAAGCCAAGCUGUCUGGAGCAGGCACUGUUGCUCUCCUGGAUUAAAGAGAGCCCAGGGAAGGGCUCCAAGUUGGAGACCUAAUGCGUUACUUUGGAGAUGAGCAAAUUCAAGCCUGGAGAGGCCCAGACAUUGGCCUGAAGUCACACAGCUGGCCAGGGGCAGAGCUCGGCCUUCCCAUCCCGAACCCCAACUGUGCCCAACCCGAGGGACCUGGGCUGGCCAGGGGCAGCACCCCCCAGUGGGCUCUCUGCAGAUAUUCACUCCACAUGGGUUUAGAGGCAGAGCUGGGUCUGCGGUGGGAAGGAAAAGACCGAUCAGCCCUCAGCUAAACCAGAGCCCUCUGCCAUCUCUGCAGCAAGCCGAGGACGGAAUUCAGGGCCUUGUGCAUGCUAGGUGUGAGCUGUCCCCACCACAGCGCUUAGUUGCAGAAGAGGAAGUGAGGUCCACGGAACUUGAGAGCCAUCCAUGCCAUGCAGGGUGCUGCCUCCUGGGUCCUGGUCCUGCUGGUGAGCUCUGUCCCCUGGGGAGAGUUCGGGCCAGGGCUUGGAGGAGCAGGGCCUGGAGAGCCUCAGUGUAGAGGCAGAAGGGAACCAGGCGCCCAGCACGGACAGAGAAAAGAGCUCACAUGUCAUGCAAUGUUUUGAAAACUCCAGUGGGCAAAGCGUGGCCAUGACCACCUGCCUGUUGUACAGUGUGGCCUUAUUAGGAUGCUGUAGACUCACCCAUGCUGCCGACAACACAUCUGCCAACCAGGCGGGGAGCAGCCCCAGAGCAGCCCUUUCUUCCUCCAGGGCCGCACUGGUCAGAACCUCCAGAGAACAGCCAAAAGCAGUGGGCGUCUGAUGUUAAGGAAUUUGCUUACCAAUCAUGAGGCUGGGCAAGUCCAGACUCCAUGAGGGGCUGGCAGGCUGGGGACCAAAAGGCGAGCUGCAGGUCAAGUCCAAAGGCAGUGCCAGCAGAAGUCCUCUUCUUCGGGGGAGUCUGUCUUUUUCCAUGAAGUCCUUCAGGUGAUGAGACGGGGCGCACCCACUUUAUGGCGGUGGUCUACACUACUCAAAGCCUCUUGGUUUAAAGCUUAAUCUCAUCUUUAAAAAAAUACCUUCACAGAAACAUCUAGAACAGUAUUUGAUAAAAUAUCUAGGUACAGGGUUCCAGCCAAGUCGACACAGAAAAUUAACCAUCAUCAUACCUUCUACUAUUGCUGAAUUCCUGACUGCUCUUGUCGCUUCCACUUGGAGACACCUGUUUUCUCCCUGGCAGGAGAAGGGAAGCAUGCAUCUGGGGAGAAGAGAUGAUGUUCUGCGUAUCUUUACAUCCUCUUGGAGGUUCUAGAGUAAUAUUUUGGACAAAAUAGAUACUGAAUACUAUGUGGGUAGCUAUUAAUCUGGCUACUUUUCUUUGGCUUUUAUUUCUCCAGGUAAAAAAAUCAGUAGAACUCUGCGAUGAAAUUUGGUUACUGUUAUGGCUUGUGGCUAGAGGUCCCCCAAAGCCUCCUGUGCCCACAGGUGGGAUUAAGUGUGAUACUGGGAUUAAGGGUGUGCGAUUAGUAAAUGAGUCCACUGAAUGGUCUGGCAUAGUUCUGAGUGUAGACAAUGGCAAGGCCCACCCUAGGUGUGACUGCUCCCUACCCUAAGGGUGUGUGGCCUGGAUAGAAUAUAAGGGACUGAAAGAGGCUGCUGCAGUCACUUGCUGCCUGCCCUGCCAUGGACUGUUUCUUCUCUGCAGUGCCCCUGCCAUGCCGCCCGCCUUAGAGCCAGCCAAUUAUGGACUGAAUCUCUACACACUGUGAGCUAAGCAAACCUUUCCUCCCUUCACUUUGGGUGUCAGGUAUUCUGUCUCAAUAAUCAGAAAUCCAAGGACAAAGUAUUUUAAGUGUAAAUACCAGAAAAAUAGUCCAUUCAAGAACAUGCCUUUUCUUCCAGCUCAGGCCUUUAUGUUGGCCUCUAGCCUCCUGACCUUUGGGAGAACCCAGCACAUGAGGAAUCUGAGGCCCAGGAAGUCUUUCUUUGUGGAAUGUAGGAAUUAUUCCUUUUGCAAUUUCUCUCCUCUAAGUCUUAAUCCUAAUAAUAAAGUGAUUUAUCAGAUUAAGACACUAAUUAAUCCUGUCUGAACAACUUGAUGUUAUCGUGUUUAAUUUCAAAUUCAAUUAUUUUGGUAUUUAAUUACAAAACAGUUAAUUACUUUAUUGUAAUUGUGUAUCUUUUUAAAGUAGAAAGAGCCCAGAAAUCCCUGAUAAGGGGCUAUCCUGAGGCACAACUGUUUCCUACUUUAUCUCUAGCGUGUAUCGCUUUGCUGCUUGAUUGUCCUGGGCUUAAGCUUCUCUUUUAUGUGCUUUUCAGUUUCUCAUUUCCUGUUUGGUUUUGGUUUCUUUUUUAUGACAUCCAGAGCCACAUUCCGCUGCCUGUGUGGGUUUCGGCACCUGGGCCUUCCAUGGCCUUUCUAGAAAGAUCUCUUUUCCCUGCAGCACCCACCACUUCUCUAAGUCAGAGGCUGUGAAUGCCAAUGUUUUGAGAGUUAUCUUGCCUAUGGGCAUUAGUGGCAGGGCCCCCAGUUUGAGCAGCUCCCCUCUUUGGAGUGAAGGUGUUGUGUCUGAGGUCAUGUGGGCUCCCCAGGGACACGGGGACUAUGUAUGCUCUGGCACAGAAGUAUUUCAACAUUUUCAUUUUCACAGCUGGUAGAACUUCACAGAUCCAUGGCCAUUCCCACCAAGCCUGGCUUUACAACUUU
rnacentral:lncRNA from 1 species